rnacentral:rRNA from 1 species
GACGUGAGGCGCGAGCGUUGUCCGGAUUUAUUGGGCGUAAAGAGCUCGUAGGCGGCUUGUCGCGUCGACUGUGAAAACUCGGGGCUCAACUCCGAGCUUGCAGUCGAUACGGGCAGGCUAGAGCACAGUAGAGGCAGGUGGAAUUCCCGGUGUAGCGGUGGAAUGCGUAGAGAUCGGGAAGAACAUCAGUGGCGAAGGCGGCCUGCUGGGCUGUUGCUGACGCUGAGGCGCGACAGCGUGGGGAGCAAACAGGG